GAUGAACGCUAGCGGCAGGCUUAAUACAUGCAAGCCGAGGGGCAACAGGGGUAGCAAUACCUGCUGGCGACCGGCAAACGGGUGCGGAACACGUACAGAACCUUCCUUUAAGCGGGGGAUAGCCCAUAGAAAUGUGGAUUAAUACCCCAUAGUAAUAUUAGUUGGCAUCAAUUGAUAUUUAAAGAUUUAUCACUUAAAGAUGGCUGUGCGGCUGAUUAGGUAGUUGGUGAGGGUAACGGCCCACCAAGCCAGCGAUCAGUAACUGGUGUGAGAGCACGACCAGUCACACGGGCACUGAGACACGGGCCCGACUCCUACGGGAGGCAGCAGUAAGGAAUAUUGGUCAAUGGACGCAAGUCUGAACCAGCCAUGCCGCGUGAAGGAUGAAGGCCCUCUGGGUUGUAAACUUCUUUUAUCUGGGAAGAAAUGCCUUGUUUUCUAACGGGUUUGACGGUACCAGAGGAAUAAGCACCGGCUAACUCCGUGCCAGC
rnacentral:rRNA from 1 species